ACUGUUAGAUGUCGCUGUAGAUUUAGCAGUACAUUACUGUAAAAAUCCACAGUACUAUACUGUAUGUAUACAUUACAGUACAGUACUGCAGUUCAUAAUGCAUUCUGGGUAAAUUUGUUUGAGCGGGAAAAUUUUACAGUAUAUUUUGGUCUUGAUGUAACCUUGCUGUAGCCAUUGCUGUAAUGUGCCAGGUGUACUUGCAAUAAUCAGAGAAAGUGCGCCAGAGUCAAAUCACACAGAGGGAGAGAGAGCACAACUCUUGGCUGCAGCUGAAGGAGGACGAUUGAUUUCUGUCAGUUCGUCUUACCAUUGCUUGUAAGCUGGAUUGGGUAAGAUGGAUCAUCUUUAAAGGCACCAGGAGUUAAGGCAGAUGUGGAGGCACAACGUGUGAUACCAGACACACACCAAGCACAUUAUGUUCGGACAUUCAAUCAUGACAGGAUCCAGGUGGAUGCUGUCCAUUGAUGAAAGAGUUUGUUCAGCGGUUUCUGGAUAGAAUUAAUUCCAAAGAUGGGAAAAAGUGCACAUCCAGACAAGGAGCAAGCAAAAAGACAAGGAACUUGGUGCAGAGAAAAGCUGUGGCCAUUAACCCCCAUGUGAACAGCUUCAUGCAGUCCCUGAUUGAGUUCGAAUGGACGACUUCAAAGUAAAGGCCACUGUGGUCUGUCUGCCACAGUUUAAUGCAUUUACUUUUAGUGUUCAAUGAAAUUUAAGUAGAAUAUUUAAAACUAUGGGCCAGUGUUCUUUUUACCACAGUGAAAUGUUACCUUUUAGUCGAUGAUGGACUUUAAACUGAAAACUUCAAACUAUUGACCAGUGUUCUAUUUGCCAGAGUUAAAUAUGUUACAGCAGGGGUCUC